rnacentral:rRNA from 1 species
UGAGGAAUAUUGGUCAAUGGACGCAAGUCUGAACCAGCCAUGCCGCGUGAAGGAUGAAGGCCUUCUGGGUUGUAAACUUCUUUUAUGAGGGAAGAAACCCCAAUAAUCUUAUUGGGUUGACGGUACCUUAGGAAUAAGCACCGGCUAACUCCGUGCCAGCAGCCGCGGUAAUACGGAGGGUGCAAGCGUUAUCCGGAUUCACUGGGUUUAAAGGGUGUGUAGGCGGGCUGUUAAGUCAGUGGUGAAAUCUCCGGGCUCAACCCGGAAACUGCCAAUGAUACUAAUAGUCUUGAAUUCUGUUGAGGUUGGCGGAAUAAGUCAUGUAGCGGUGAAAUGCAUAGAUAUGACUUAGAACACCGAUUGCGAAGGCAGCUAACUAAGCAGAUAUUGACGCUGAGGCACGAAAGCGUGGGGAUCAAACAGGAUUAGAUACCCCCGUAGUCC